AAGGGUAGUUUCCCUGCAGAAGCUCUCUCUUUCUCUGCUUCCAUCCAGCUGAGACAUGACUUGCUUUUUCUUGCCUUCUAACAUGAUUGUGAGGCUUCCUCAGCUACGUGGAAAUAAACUCCUGGAGGGCAGAUGCAUGCCUGCCAUCUUCAUCGUUUCAUUACCACCAUCCAACACUAUCGGGGGACCUGCCCUGAUAAUCAGCAUGUAACGAGGCUCAACACAACUCUGUAUGGGAACAGUCAGGUUGGAGUCUACAGGUGUAUCCAGCAGCUCCAGAGAGACAGCGACCAGCGAGAAGGGGCCAUGAUGAUGGUGGUGGUUUUGUCAAAACGAAAAGGGGGAUAUGUAGGGAAAAGAAAGAGAGAUCAGACUGUUACUGUGUCUACAUAGAAAGGGAAGCCAUAAGAGACUCCAUUUUGAAAAAGACCUGUACUUUAAACAAUUGCUUGCUGAGAUGUUGUUUAUCUGUAGCUUUGCCCCAGCCACUUUGCCCCAACCACUUUGACCCAAUCUGGAGCUCACAAAAACAUGUUUGUAUGAAAUCAAGGCUUAAGGCAUGUAGGGCUGUGCAGGACGUGCCUUGUUAACCAAAUAUUUGGAAGCAGUAUACUUGGUAAAAGUCAUCACCAUUCUCUCGUCUCAAUAAACCAGGGGCACAAUGCACUGUGGAAAGCCGCAGGGACCUCUGCCCUUGAAAGCUGGGUAUUGUCCAUGGUUUCUUCCCAUGUGAUAGUCUGAAAUAUGGCCUCAUGGGAUGAGAAAGACCUGACGGUCCCCCAGCUCGACACCCAUAAAGUGUCUGUGCUGAGGUGGAUUAGUCAAAGAGGAAAGCCUCUUGCAGUUGAGAUAGAGGAAGGCCGCUGUCUCAUGCUUGCCCCCUGGGAACUGAAUGUCUCGGUAUAAAACACUAUUGUACAUUUGUUCAAUUCUGACAUGGGAGAAAAACCACCCUAUGGUGGGAGGCGAGACAUGUUUGCAGCAAUGCUGCCUUGUUAUUCUUUACUCCACUGAGAUGUCUGGGUGCAGAGAAACAUAAAUCUGGCUUACAUGCACGUCCAGUCAUAGUACCUUCCCUUGAACUUCAUUAUGUCAUAGAUUCUAUUGCUCACAUGUUUGUUGCUGACCUUCUCCUUAUUAUCACCUUGCCCUCCUACUACAUUCAUUUUUGCUGAAAUAAUGAAGAUAAUAAUCAAUAAAAACUGAGGGAACUCAGAGAACGGUGCCAGUGCAGGUCCUUAGCAUGCUAAGCGCCGGUCCCCUGGGCCCACUGUUGUUUCUCUAUA